rnacentral:tRNA from 1 species
GGGAUUGUGGCUCAGCGGUAGAGCACUCGCCUUGCAUGUGUGUGGUCCUGGGUUCAAUCCUUAGCACCA